GAACGGGGUUUCGCAAGAGACCUAGUGGCAAACGGGUGAGUAACACGUGGGAAUCUGCCCAAGAGUGGGGAACAACUCCUCGAAAGAGGAGCUAAUACCGCAUACGGUCGCAAGACUAAAGCCUUCGGGCGCUUUUGGAGGAGCCUGCGGCUGAUUAGCUAGUUGGUGGGGUAACGGCCUACCAAGGCGGUGAUCAGUAGCUGGUCUGAGAGGAUGGACAGCCACACUGGGACUGAGAUACGGCCCAGACUCCUACGGGAGGCAGCAGCGAGGAAUUUUCCGCAAUGGGGGAAACCCUGACGGAGCAACGCCGCGUGAACGAAGAAGUCUUUCGGGAUGUAAAGUUCUUUUCUGUGGGAAGAAUGAAGGACGGUACCACAGGAAUAAGCAUCGGCUAACUACGUG
rnacentral:rRNA from 1 species